CAAAUGAAGAACACUCAAUGAUCAAACAAAGAAAAUUCAUCAAAAAUGGUGAACAAAAAAAAAAACAAAACAAAACAAAAAGAAAUCACAAAGUGAUGGUGAGCAAAAAGAAUGAAAAUCAAAGUUCAAGAAAAAAAAACAAAGUGUUCAAAAAGUCAAAUAAUUGAUGCAAUGUCUAGAUGAUAACCCUUGCUUCAAAAGAUAUAGCCGACAAACAUUCAUUUGGGCCUUUAUACCCUUUCUUCUAAUACCUUUUAGCCCCUAGCCACGUUACAAGCCUAAUAAAGCCCACAUAGAUUGAAUAAUGAUUGCUCAAAUUUUCAUAAAGCUUAAUUUUGCGGUAAGGUGAAAUGACUUUCAAUGUGUCGUAAAAAAGAAAAAAGUUAAAAAUGAAUGAUUGAAAACAAAAAAAAAAAGAGAAAAAAGCAAUGUCUCAGGAGAAGGGGAUCUCCCUGCCAACUAGCCAGAAGCAUGCAAGGGAAAAUAGAACCAAUUGGGGCCAUCCUUUUAGCCUAUUCUUUUCAUGUCCACUUGUGAGUCUCACCCGAGUUUUUCAUCAACCCAUACCACAAUAAACAAAAAAAAAAGCAAACAAAAAAUUGGGCAGCUUUGUUAGUCUCACACGAGUUUUUCAUCUAUCCAUAACCUCAAGACUGGGGCAACUUUGCAAAUCUUAUUUGAAAUUUUCACCCUAAUUUUCAUACCUUGGCUCAUUUUCCAAAACAUCAAGCUGGGGCACCCUUUGUGUAUCUCGUGUUUCACCCUGACAUUCUCAUAUAACAAUUCCUUUGAGGAUUAUAUGAGGAAUGACUUGUCCAUACAAUUAUCCCAUUCUCCUCUAAACCUUUCUAAACAUUUCUCGUCUUUUCAUUUGCCUAUAAAUUCAAGCAUGUGUGCAUUGAUGUCUCG
rnacentral:lncRNA from 1 species